rnacentral:tRNA from 1 species
GAAUGGCUCAGUGGUAGAGCAUCGCCUUGCCAAGGCGAGGGCCGCGGGUUCGAAUCCCGUUUCG